ACUUAAAUAAUUUAAAUAAUAAAAUAUUGAUUUGUGGUAUCAAAUAUAUGAAUUAGUUCAUUUUAAGUU
rnacentral:tRNA from 1 species